rnacentral:tRNA from 1 species
GGGCUGCGUAGUGCGCGGCCGUGGUGCGGGCGUCCUGCCAGGCCGCCUCCCGGGCGCGGGCCUCGACCGCGGCGGCAUCC